UACGGAGGAUGCGAGCGUUAUCCGGAUUUAUUGAGUUUAAAGGGUGCGUAGGCGGGAUGCCAAGUCAGCGGUAAAAAUGCGGUGCUCAACGCCGUCGAGCCGUUGAAACUGGCGUUCUUGAGUGGGCGAGAAGUAUGCGGAAUGCGUGGUGUAGCGGUGAAAUGCAUAGAUAUCACGCAGAGCUCCGAUUGCGAAGGCAGCAUACCGGCGCCCUACUGACGCUGAGGCACGAAAGCGUGGGUAUCGAACAGG
rnacentral:rRNA from 1 species